rnacentral:rRNA from 1 species
CAGUCGCCGCGGUAAUACGAAGGGUGCAAGCGUUACUCGGAAUUACUGGGCGUAAAGCGUGCGUAGGUGGUGGUUUAAGUCCGUUGUGAAAGCCCUGGGCUCAACCUGGGAAUUGCAGUGGAUACUGGGUCACUAGAGUGUGGUAGAGGAUAGUGGAAUUUCCGGUGUAGCAGUGAAAUGCGUAGAGAUCGGAAGGAACAUCUGUGGCGAAGGCGACUAUCUGGGCCAACACUGACACUGAGGCACGAAAGCGUGGGGAGCAAACAGGAUUAGAUACCCCAGUAGUCCCUGUCCUUAUACA